UACGUAGGGUGCAAGCGUUAAUCGGAAUUACUGGGCGUAAAGCGUGCGCAGGCGGUUGUGCAAGACAGAUGUGAAAUCCCCGGGCUCAACCUGGGAAUUGCAUUUGUGACUGCACGGCUAGAGUGUGUCAGAGGGGGGUAGAAUUCCACGUGUAGCAGUGAAAUGCGUAGAGAUGUGGAGGAACACCGAUGGCGAAGGCAGCCCCCUGGGUCAAAACUGACGCUCAUGCACGAAAGCGUGGGGAGCAAACAGG
rnacentral:rRNA from 1 species